GCGCAAUGGGCGAAAGCCUGACGGAGCAAUGCCGCGUGAAGGAUGAAGGCCUAUGGGUUGUAAACUUCUUUUCUCAGAGAAGAAAUUUUGACGGUAUCUGAGGAAUAAGCAUCGGCUAACUCUGUGCCAGCAGCCGCGGUAAGACAGAGGAUGCAAGCGUUAUCCGGAAUGAUUGGGCGUAAAGCGUCUGUAGGUGGCUUAAAAAGUCUCCUGUCAAAGAUCAGGGCUUAACCCUGGGCCGGCAGGAGAAACUCUUAGGCUAGAGUUGGUAGGGGCAGAGGGAAUUCCCGGUGGAGCGGUGAAAUGCGUAGAGAUCGGGAGGAACACCAAAGGCGAAAGCACUCUGCUGGGCCAUUACUGACACUGAGAGACGAAAGCGAGGGGAGCAAAAGGGAUUAGAUA
rnacentral:rRNA from 1 species